rnacentral:tRNA from 1 species
GCGCGGGUGGCGAAACUGGUAGACGCGCAGUCUUGAGGAGGCUGUGGAGUAAUCCUUGCAGGUUCAAGUCCUGUCCCGCGCA